CCUAGAGAGGGUGUUCAAGGAUCCAUCUCGUGGCUCAGUGAUUGAGUUUACUGCUGGAAGAUUCACCUAUGAAGUCAAUUCGGAAGUCAUGAUCCAGAUAAAUACAAGCUCACACACCCAACGACUGGUAAGAAGARGGCCGAUGUUCAAAUCAUCCAUAGAUGUUCAGAGAGCUACUAGCACAUCUAAUACCCCCACUUCUUCUGUGCCACCUUUCUGGGACCAGUCUCGGUUGCCUGGGAUUGGCUUUGAGAGAGUUAUGUUGCCAAACUCAGCAAAGGAAUACAAAGACAUCAAGGCCCUUUUUGAUAAAACAACAGUGGGGUUCAACAUACGCACCAUCGAGAGAGUGCAAAACCCUAUCCUAUGGAAGUUCUACGUGCUGUAGGUUUCUAAAAGACAGUAUCAAAAACAGAUGUAUUUAGUUUUUUCUUUAAUUGGGGUUUAAUUGACCCAAGUAUAUUCCUUUUUAGGCAAAGAGAUCAGAUGAA